GCCAGGCGUGGUGGUGCGCGCCUGUAGUCCCAGCUACUGGGGAAGCUGAGGCAGAAGAAUCGCUUGAACCCAGGAGGUGGAAGUUGCAGUGAGCCAAGAUCGUGCCACUGCACUCCAGCCUGGGUGACAGAGCGAGAUUCUGUCUCAA
rnacentral:SRP_RNA from 1 species